GAUGAACGCUGGCGGCGUGCCUAGUACAUGCAAGUCGAGCGAACAGAUGAGGAGCUUGCUCCUCUGACGUUAGCGGCGGACGGGUGAGUAACACGUGGAUAACCUACCUAUAAGACUGGGAUAACUUCGGGAAACCGGAGCUAAUACCGGAUAAUAUAUUGAACCGCAUGGUUCAAUAGUGAAAGACGAUUUUGCUGUCACUUAUAGAUGGAUCCGCGCCGCAUUAGCUAGUUGGUAAGGUAACGGCUUACCAAGGCAACGAUGCGUAGCCGACCUGAGAGGGUGAUCGGCCACACUGGAACUGAGACACGGUCCAGACUCCUACGGGAGGCAGCAGUAGGGAAUCUUCCGCAAUGGGCGAAAGCCUGACGGAGCAACGCCGCGUGAGUGAUGAAGGUCUUCGGAUCGUAAAACUCUGUUAUUAGGGAAGAACAAAUGUGUAAGUAACUAUGCACGUCUUGACGGUACCUAAUCAGAAAGCCACGGCUAACUACGUG
rnacentral:rRNA from 1 species